rnacentral:rRNA from 1 species
UACGGAGGGUGCAAGCGUUAUCCGGAUUUACUGGGUUUAAAGGGUGUGUAGGCGGGCUGUUAAGUCAGGGGUGAAAUCUCCGGGCUCAACCCGGAAACUGCCAUUGAUACUAAUGGUCUUGAAUUUUGUUGAGGUAGGCGGAAUAAGUCAUGUAGCGGUGAAAUGCAUAGAUAUGACUUAGAACACCAAUUGCGAAGGCAGCUUGCUAAACAAAUAUUGACGCUGAGGCACGAAAGCGUGGGGAUCAAACAGG